GACGAACGCUGGCGGCGUGCUUAACACAUGCAAGUCGUACGGUAAGGCCCUUUCGGGGGUCCACGAGUGGCGAACGGGUGCGUAACACGUGCGUAACCUGCCCACAACUUUGGGAUAACGCUAGGAAACUGGUGCUAAUACUGGAUAUGUGCUCCUGCUGCAUGGUGGUGGUUGGAAAGCUCCGGCGGUUGUGGAUGGACUGGCGGCCUAUCGCCUUGUUGGGGGGUAGUGGGCUACCAAGGCGGCCACGGGUAGGCGGCCAGAGGUGGUGAGCGGCGACAUUGACACUGAGAGACGGCCCAGACUGCGACGGGAGGCAGAAGGGGGGAAGAUUGAACAAGGGGCGCAAGCCUGAUGCAGCAACGCCGCGGGCGGGAUGACGGUCUUCGGGUUGUAAAACGCAUUCAGCAGGGACGAUGCUUUUUGUGACGGUACCUGCAGAAGAAGCACCGGCUAACUACGUG
rnacentral:rRNA from 1 species